rnacentral:hammerhead_ribozyme from 1 species
AUCCAGCUGGUGAGUCCCAAAUAGGACGAAACGCGCGUCCUAGAU